AAUCAAUUUUUUUUUUAGUAUUCACUGACAAACUUCUAACAAAUUUUGUUCGAUGACUAUUAGAUAUAAACAUAAUAAUCUUAAAUUUGCUUAAUGCGAACAUUUCAUAACUUUUAGUACAUUCUAUAGUGAAUACUAAAUGCGUAUUCCCGCCUGUUUUAAAAUCGAUUGACAGCGUCUGCGAAUUUCUACAGAAGUUGCAAAAAAUAUUGUAAAUUUUUGUAAGACUAAAUAUUUAAGAAAUUUUUCGGAAAAUAAAAAACAAUUGAAACUAAUUAUAGUUAAAUUUUUGUUCAUUAAAGAAAGAAAAAUAUAUUAAACUAUGACGGGCAUAGCUCCUUUAUCUACUGGCGUUAUAGAGCGCAUUAUGCGAGGCGAGGAAGUAGAUAAGCCUGUUUUGCAAAUUCUGGGUACAAAGAAAAUUACUGGCGGUGAAACCGAUCGUUUGCGUUUACUAAUUUCAGAUGGAAAAUUUAUCAACAGUUAUUCCAUGUUAGCAACUCAACUCAAUCAUUUACAUGCAGAAGGUAAACUCUCGGAAUAUACUAUAGUUCGAGUAGACAAAUACAUAACAUCAGUUGUCAACGGCAAGGAUGCUGGAAAGCGUGUGCUCAUAAUACUCGAAUUAAGUGUGUUAAAUCCGGGGACUGAAGUUGGUAAAAAGAUAGGUACACCAGUCUCAUAUACCGAAGAAGCCGCAGCACAAAGUAAUAAAGCGAGUGCAAACAACAGUAGUGCUGUUACGAAACCUUCAGCAAAGAGCGUUGCAAAGAAAGCGGAUACUAAGCCUACUCUUUACAACAACAAUAAUAAUAACACAUUGAACCAAUCAUUGACCGCGGGAUUAACUCAUCCCAUCUCCAGCUUAAGUCCAUAUCAAAAUAAAUGGGUUAUUAAAGCGCGUGUCACGGCAAAAGGUCCAAUGCGCACUUGGAGUAAUGCAAAGGGUGAAGGUAAACUUUUUAGUAUGGAUCUAAUGGAUGAAUCUGGAGAGAUACGCGCAACAGCGUUUCGUGAACAAGCUGAGAAAUUUUAUGAUAUAAUUGAAGUCGACCGUGUUUACUAUAUAUCGAAAUGCCAGCUGAAGCCUGCGAAUAAACAGUUUACCACGUUGAAAAAUGAUUAUGAAAUGACACUAACUGGCGAAACACAAAUCCAAGCAUGCGAGGAAGAUGACAAUGAUAUACCAGAAAUUAAAUACGAUUUGGUCCCCAUAUCUGAGUUAGUGAACCUAGAGGCUCGUACAAGUAUUGAUACAAUUGGUAUUUGCAAAGAAGUUGGGGAAUUACAAACAUUUACCUCUCGCACUACGAAUAAGGAAUUCAAAAAGCGUGAAUUGACACUGGUUGACUCCAGCAAUGCUGCUGUGAAUUUAACAUUGUGGGGCGAGGAUGCUGUUAACUUCGAUGGCUACGUGCAGCCAGUGAUUUUAGUCAAAGGUGUACGCGUGACUGAAUUUAAUGGCGGUAAAAGUAUAAGCAUGGGCAAUGGAUCGGUUAUGAAAAUAAACCCGGACAUAUCGGAAGGUCAUAAGCUGCGUGGCUGGUUCGAUAACGGUGGCGGGGAACACAUUUCAAAUAUGAUUUCCACCAGAACCGGUGGUGCUGGCGGGGGUUUUAGCACCGAGUGGUUAACGUUUCAUGAGGCACGCAGUCGAAAUUUAGGCGCUGGCGACAAGCCAGAUUAUUUCCAAUGCAAAGCUGUUGUACAUAUAGUUAAAUGUCAGAAUGCAUUCUACAAGGCUUGCCCGCAAGCGGAUUGCAACAAAAAGGUUAUCGACGAAAAUAACGGUCAUUAUCGUUGCGAGCGUUGUAAUGCCGUCUUUCCCAACUUCAAAUACAGACUAUUAAUUAAUAUGAGCAUUGGCGAUUGGACAUCAAAUCGUUGGGUCACUUGCUUCAGCGAAGUGGGUGAACAACUGUUGAAGCGUUCGGCACAGGAAAUCGGCGAUCUACUCGAAAAUAAUCCACCAGAAGGUGAAGAGGUUCUCUCCUCUAUCAACUUCAAUUCGUACAUAUUUAAAUUGCGCAGCAAAAUGGAACAAUUUGGUGAUAUGCAACGUAAUAAGCUGACAGUACAAUCUGUCGCACCAUUGGAUUACAAGGAGUACAAUAAAUAUUUAAUAAACAAUCUUAAAGAGUUAACUGGCAUUAACAAAAAUUAAUUCAUCUUCAUGUUAAAUAUUAAUACAUACUUUUUUUUUAUUCUUAAAGCACUUUUCUAAUACAAAAAUGAAUUUAAGUUAAAUGGAUCUGUUUAGAAAAUAAUUAGUAUUGGGUGAUUACAGUUGCAACAUCAUCCGUUUUUGGUGUUGUAUCGACAAAAAAUAUUCCUUCUCGAAAUUACGAGGAAAGGUGCCAAGUUGGCAGCAUAAAAAUUCGGGUCCGUGCGGAACGUUCAUAUUUUGACAUAAUGACUUACGAUCAACUUAAAUCAAUCAAUAAAUGCAUUACCGUAUCUUUGUCGGGAAGAGUUCGAAGUUAGUUCGUGAUGCAGGGUUUCAACGCAGGCAAGAUCGAGCGUCAAAUGGAUGAAAGGCGAAAGAAGAAAAAUUAGACUAAUUCUCUCGACUUUUCAUGUUUAAACGAUUUUCCACAUUUCGGAUUCUUCAUGAAUGACCAGCGAUAAAUGAUAAAAAUGUAGGUGGUGUGAUGUACUUCGACGCCUUGCAACCGCUUGAGUAGGAGGAAUAAUCCCAAAACUACAGUCGGGUUUACGUAAGCGAAACGGAUCCUGGUUUUUGUUCGGCCAAGGACUAUCAACCGAGCAACCUUUCUCAAAAAAUUUUGUGAAACGUUUUUUUGUCACUACAUCAACAACAACAAAGAAUCAAGGAGACAAAUAUUUCAAACCCAUUUUUUCUCAAAUCAGAUUUAAAUAUUAAAUUUUUAUUUCAUAUUUUCUAUUUCCAAAAUGUUUGGGAUUAAAAAUAAUGUUUUUAAUUUUAAGUAUUAGGUUAUAAUUUGCAGUAUAUUUUAUUUAUUUAAGAUAAAAAAGAACGAGAAAAAAGAAGGAACAUAUUUCUAACUCAAACACUAUAAUUAAAAGCAAUUAAAUAUAUAUAUGGCAAGAAGAACCAAAA